AGCAUGUUAGCUCAGGGGAAGAGCGCCGGGCUCAUAACCCGGAGGUACGUUUCACCGUCCAUUCUUGGUACCAUUGGACAAAGCAACUAACAACUCGAAAGGCCCCUAGAUCGAAACUAGGACAUGCUA
rnacentral:tRNA from 1 species